rnacentral:rRNA from 1 species
GACGAACGCUGGCGGCGUGCUUAACACAUGCAAGUCGAACGGAAAGGCCCUGCUUGCAGGGUACUCGAGUGGCGAACGGGUGAGUAACACGUGGGUGAUCUGCCCUGCACUUCGGGAUAAGCUUGGGAAACUGGGUCUAAUACCGGAUAGGGGCUCCUGCUGCAUGGUGGGGGUUGGAAAGUUUCGGCGGCUGGGGAUGGACUCGCGGCUUAUCAGCUUGUUGGUGGGGUAGUGGCUUACCAAGGCUUUGACGGGUAGCCGGCCUGAGAGGGUGACCGGCCACAUUGGGACUGAGAUACGGCCCAGACUCCUACGGGAGGCAGCAGUGGGGAAUAUUGCACAAUGGGCGGAAGCCUGAUGCAGCAACGCCGCGUGCGGGAUGACGGCCUUCGGGUUGUAAACCGCUUUCGCCUGCGACGAAGCGUGAGUGACGGUAAUGGGUAAAGAAGCACCGGCUAACUACGUG